rnacentral:rRNA from 1 species
ACAUCCAGAGAACUUAGCAGAGAUGCUUUGGUGCCUUCGGGAACUCUGAGACAGGUGCUGCAUGGCUGUCGUCAGCUCGUGUUGUGAAAUGUUGGGUUAAGUCCCGNAACGAGCGCAACCCUUAUCCUUUGUUGCCAGCGGUUCGGCCGGGAACUCAAAGGAGACUGCCGGUGAUAAACCGGAGGAAGGUGGGGAUGACGUCAAGUCAUCAUGGCCCUUACGGCCAGGGCUACACACGUGCUACAAUGGCGCAUACAAGGAGAAGCGACCUCGCGAGAGCAAGCGGACCUCAUAAAGUGCGUCGUAGUCCGGAUUGGAGUCUGCAACUCGACUCCAUGAAGUCGGAAUCGCUAGUAAUCGUAGAUCAGAAUGCUACGGUGAAUACGUUCCCGGGCCUUGUACACACCGCCCGUCACACCAUGGGAGUGGGUUGCAAAAGAAGUAGGUAGCUUAACCUUCGGGAGGGCGCUUACCACUUUGUGAUUCAUGACUGGGGUGAAGUCGUAACAAGGUAGGCGUAGCGAG